UACGGAGGGUGCGAGCGUUAAUCGGAAUUACUGGGCGUAAAGGGUGCGUAGGUGGUUUAUUAAGUUAUGUGCGAAAGACCAGGGCUUAACCUUGGGGUGACAUAUAAGACUGAUGAGCUAGAGUAUAGGAGAGGGUAGUGGAAUUUCCGGUGUAGCGGUGAAAUGCGUAGAGAUCGGAAGGAACACCGGUGGCGAAGGCGGCUACCUGGCCUAAUACUGACACUGAGGCACGAAAGCAUGGGGAGCAAACAGG
rnacentral:rRNA from 1 species